UUUCCCUCAGGAUAGCUGGAGCUCGGAAACGAGUUCUAUCGGGUAAAGCCAAUGAUUAGAGGCAUCGGGGACGCAACGUCCUCGACCUAUUCUCAAACUUUAAAUAGGUAGGACGGGGUGGCUGCUUUGUUGAGCCAUCCCACGGAAUCGAGAGCUCCAAGUGGGCCAUUUUUGGUAAGCAGAACUGGCGAUGCGGGAUGAACCG
rnacentral:ncRNA from 2 species